CAUACUAGUAUUGUUACCUCCAUUUUAUAGAUAAGGAAACUGAGAUUUAAAUCAGUAGAGACUUGUUUAAAGACAUAUGAUUAGGAAGUGACACAACUAGAAUUUAAAUUUAUAUUUAUUGAUUACCAGUCUUUUCCACUUUGGGGCAUUGCUUCCAUAACAUUAGUCUAUUUUAUUCCUAUUAUUCUAAGUAGGGUUUCUAUGAACCUGGGGCCAUGUUAUUUUCCAUCAACCCAUCAACAAUUAAGAUCCUACUGUAUACUAAGUAUUCUGUUAAACUCUUAAUAUACAAAGACAAAAGUAAAACAAUUCCUGAUCUAAACAAACUAAGAUUCUAGCAGAUGAAGAAAUAAAACAAAUCUAUAGAAGUUCUAUAACAGAAUAUGUGCAACGUUAACACAAAGUAGUUUUGAAGUUCUGGGCACUCAAAGCUAAGGGGAUCAAGAAAGAUUUAAAGUAAAAGGUAGAGCCUAACUUUAGUCUCUUUGGAAAUCAAGGGGCCCAAUAAACAGAGGUAAGAACAAAAUUUAUUUCUCCCUUGGGAGAAGCAAUGAAGUAUAUGAGAGAAAUAUCAAUAUAUUAGUAUGGCUGAUCCAGUGAACAAAUGUAAAUAAAUAAAAAAGUGAACAGGAUUGUUAAGAGCUUUAGAUAUAAAACAGAAGGGUUUAUAUUUGACCUUUCAGGUAAUAGGGAGUCAUUGAUUGGAGUUUAUUGACUAGGAAAUAGACAUUACCAGACCUGCAAUGUAGGAAAAUCUUUUUGACAGCUAUGUGGAUUAAAGUGAACAAAGACUCAAGGCAAAAAGACAAAUUAAGUGGCUACUGCCAUAGUCCAGCAAGAAGUUAUGAGACCUAAAUCAGGACAGCUGUUAUGUGAUUAGAGAGAAGGAAAUGCAUGUCAGAAACACUACUGAGAGAAAAAUAAGACUAGAGAACUGACUGGGUACAUGGAGAGAAGGAGGAGGAGGAGAAGUCAAGAAUAUUUUGUCCUAGGAAUGUAAAGAGUCUUGAAGUUAGGAGAUCUGAAAUUGGGCUCUAUCUUUAUAUAUGGCCAUCAGUAAAUCACUUCAUUUUUGUUAUUUUAUUUCCUCAUUUGUAAAAGGAGCAUAAUAAUACUUGCACUAUAGACCUCAUAGGAUUGUUGUGAAGGUAGUGUUUUGUCAACUUUUAAACAUUAUAUGAGCAUCUUGUUGUGAUAAUUAUGAUCAUUCCUACUACUAUCAUUAUCCCUUCACAGGCUAAGGAGCAAAUCUUGUGGUACAAGAUCUUUUCCCAUAAUCAAGUCUCUACUGAUCAGGUUUUUUCCAGUGCAAUAAUAGUAUAUAUAGCAAUAUCGUAUAAAUUCAACUAAUUUCAUUCAAUUUUUUAAAAAUAAUUCCUGGAAAAAGAAGAAUCUUAGUGACCAUGAUGUUAGUCAUCAUCAAAGAAACUGUAUUGGCAUAGAUUACAGCUUAAAGUAUGGUUCCCCUCCUGAGCCAAGUAAUGGAAAUGACUGGUUUUAUUCAUCAGAUGUCUUAAGUUAUGACAUAUUGCCUUCAUGGUUCAGGUAUAUUCCAAGCACCAAAGACUGAGAAAAAUGAUAAAAGCUCUUGAUCCAAGGAUUUUAUCACAUUAGUUUUGUUUUUUCAUUUAAAAAUAUACCACCACAAAUCAUUAAAAUACUGAAUGGAUAAAUUAACUAUAUUUGAUGCUUUGCUUUGAUAGAUGUGCAAUGUUACAUGUAGUUACUUUCCUUAUCAUGAGAUCAACAUUUAAAGCCUGGAAGAACCUUAAAGACUAUAUAAUCUAUUUCACAUAUGAGGAUCCAACCUCAUCAUUUCACAGAUAAGGCAAUCAAGACCCACAGAGACCAUACAGAUAGUUAAAGAUAAAGAUAGGAUUUAAAUCCAGGUCCCCAUAUUCCUAAAUCAGUGUUCUUAAUGAACAAUAGUGAAUAUUUAUUAUGAACUGACUGUACAGGCACACUAAAAUACUGUUGAUAGGACUAUGAACUGGUCUAGAUAUUCUAGAAAGGAAUUAAGAACUAUUAAAAAAUUUUUUUAUUAAGUCUUUGACUAUCAUUAGGAAUAUACCUAAAGAUAUCAAAGAAGAGAAGAAUCCAUAGAAACAAAAAAAAUGUGCAGCAGCACUUUAUUGUAAGUAAGAAUUGGAAAAGAAGGGAUACUUAUCAGAUAAUGACUGAGUAAUAGUAUGUGAGUGAAAUGGAAUAUUAUUAUAAUAUAAGAAAUAAUGAAAAAAUGGAUUCAGAGAAACCUGGGAAGAUGUGAACUGUUACAGAGUAAAGUCAACAGAAUCAGGAAAACAAUAUAUAAUACUACAAAAUUAUAACUUUGAAAGACAUAAGAACUCCAAUCAACAUAAUGACCAUCCACAACUCCAGAGGAUUGAUAAUGAAGCAUGUUACUCAAGUCUGACAGAGAAGUCUGGGAGUCAAGGUAAAUGAAUGUAUUGAGAUGGGAGUAACCAAGUGGUUACUAGAAGACUGAUCAAAAUUAAUCAAGACUAUUCCAAUAAUUGAAAUCCUAGAUCCAGCAUCAGAAGUAGCUGUGCCUGUUGAGGAGUUAUGUGGGAUUCCAUUCCUUGAAGAUGUGCCUGCUUGAUCCAACCUGGCAAUGAAUCAAUCUAAUAACUAAUAACUGAGCAAAGGAAUGAUUUACCCAUUGACUAUGCCAAUUUAAUUUAAAAGUGAACUUGAUAGGUACUCAGAAAAGGGGAAAAGAGUUUAUAGGGCCAGGAAGUAGAAGAUGUUUUGUAAUCACUAUCUUAAGUAUAAGCCCACAUUCCCCAGUGUCUUCUAGUACCAGAACAUGCUUUUUAACUUCUAUUUUUGUUAUACUUUCUCAAUAAAUACACUUUUUAAAAAGUUAA